rnacentral:rRNA from 1 species
UACGUAGGGGGCAAGCGUUGUCCGGAUUUACUGGGCGUAAAGAGCGCGUAGGCGGGAGUUUAAGUGUGGCUUGAAAGCCCCCGGCUCAACCGGGGAAAUGGGCUGCAAACUGGGCUUCUUGAGGGCGAUAGAGGAGCAUGGAAUUCCUGGUGUAGCGGUGAAAUGCGUAGAUAUCAGGAGGAACACCCAAGGCGAAGGCAGUGCUCUGGGUCGGCUCUGACGCUGAGGCGCGAAAGCGUGGGGAGCGAACGGG